CCUACGGGAGGCAGCAGUGAGGAAUAUUGGUCAAUGGGCGUAAGCCUGAACCAGCCAAGUCGCGUGAGGGAUGAAGGUUCUAUGGAUCGUAAACCUCUUUUAUAAGGGAAUAAAGUGUGGGACGUGUCCUGUUUUGCAUGUACCUUAUGAAUAAGGAUCGGCUAAUUCCGUGCCAGCAGCCGCGGUAAUACGGAGGGUCCGGGCGUUAUCCGGAUUUAUUGGGUUUAAAGGGUGCGUAGGCGGCCUUUUAAGUCAGCGGUGAAAUGCUGUGGCUCAACCGUGGAAUUGCAGUGGAAACUGGGGGGCUUGAGUGUGUCUGAGGCAGGCGGAAUGCGUGGUGUAGCGGUGAAAUGCUUAGAUAUCACGCAGAACCCCGAUUGCGAAGGCAGCCUACC
rnacentral:rRNA from 1 species